UACGGAGGGUGCAAGCGUUAUCCGGAUUUAUUGGGUUUAAAGGGUGCGUAGGCGGUUAUAUAAGUCAGCGGUGAAAUUUUUCAGCUUAACUGGAAACAUGCCGUUGAUACUGUAUAGCUUGAAUAUGGUUGCUGUGAGUGGAAUGUGUAGUGUAGCGGUGAAAUGCUUAGAUAUUACACAGAAUAUCGAUUGCGAAGGCAACUCACAAAGCCAAUAUUGACGCUGAGGCACGAAAGUGUGGGGAUCAAACAGG
rnacentral:rRNA from 1 species